rnacentral:rRNA from 1 species
GAUGAACGCUGGCGGCGUGCCUAAUACAUGCAAGUCGAGCGAACGGACGAGAAGCUUGCUUCUCUGAUGUUAGCGGCGGACGGGUGAGUAACACGUGGAUAACCUACCUAUAAGACUGGGAUAACUUCGGGAAACCGGAGCUAAUACCGGAUAAUAUUUUGAACCGCAUGGUUCAAAAGUGAAAGACGGUCUUGCUGUCACUUAUAGAUGGAUCCGCGCUGCAUUAGCUAGUUGGUAAGGUAACGGCUUACCAAGGCAACGAUGCAUAGCCGACCUGAGAGGGUGUUCGGCCACACUGGAACUGAGACACGGUCCAGACUCCUACGGGAGGCAGCAGUAGGGAAUCUUCCGCAAAGGGCGAAAGCCUGACGGAGCAACGCCGCGUGAGUGAUGAAGGUCUUCGGAUCGUAAAACUCUGUUAUUAGGGAAGAACAUAUGUGUAAGUAACUGUGCACAUCUUGACGGUACCUAAUCAGAAAGCCACGGCUAACUACGUG